UUAAGUUCAGCGGGUAUUCCUACCUGAUGCGAGGUCAACAUUUCAGAGUUUGGGGUGUUUUACGGCUGUGGCCGCGCCGCGCUCCCGGUGCGAGUGUGCAAACUACUGCGCAGGAGAGGCUGCGACGAGACCGCCACUGUAUUUCGGGGGCGGCCCGGUGAGGGGCCGAUCCCCAACGCCGACCCCCCGGAGGGGUUCGA
rnacentral:misc_RNA from 1 species